rnacentral:rRNA from 1 species
UACGGAGGGUGCAAGCGUUAUCCGGGUUCACUGGGUUUAAAGGGUGCGUAGGAGGGCAGGUAAGUCAGUGGUGAAAUCCCCGAGCUUAACUUGGGAACUGCCGUUGAUACUAUCUGUCUUGAAUGUUGUGGAGGUGAGCGGAAUAUGUCAUGUAGCGGUGAAAUGCUUAGAUAUGACAUAGAACACCAAUUGCGAAGGCAGCUCGCUACACAAUUAUUGACUCUGAGGCACGAAAGCGUGGGGAUCAAACAGG